UACGGGGGGAGCAAGCGUUGUUCGGAUUUACUGGGCGUAAAGGGCGCGUAGGCGGCCUCUGCAAGUCGACUGUGAAAUCUCCGGGCUUAACCCGGAAAGGUCAGCCAAUACUGCGGGGCUAGAGUGCAGAAGGGGCAACUGGAAUUCUCGGUGUAGCGGUGAAAUGCGUAGAUAUCGAGAGGAACACCUGCGGCGAAGGCGGGUUGCUGGGCUGACACUGACGCUGAUGCGCGAAAGCUAGGGGAGCGAACGGG
rnacentral:rRNA from 1 species